GAUGAAGAACGUAGCGAAAUGCGAUAAGUAGUGUGAAUUGCAGAAUUCAGUGAAUCAUCGAAUCUUUGAACGCACAUUGCGCCCCUCGGUAUUCCGUGGGGCAUGCCUGUUCGAGCGUCAUUUAACCCCUCAAGCCUCGCUUGGUAUUGGGCAACGCGGUCCGCCGCGUGCCUCAAAUCGACCGGCUGGGUCUUCUGUCCCCUAAGCGUUGUGGAAACUAUUCGCUAAAGGGUGUUCGGGAGGCUACGCCGUAAAACAACCCCAUUUCUAAGGUUGACCUCGGAUCAGGUAGGGAUACCCGCUGAACUUAAGCAUAUCAAUAAGCGGAGGA
rnacentral:misc_RNA from 1 species